UCCCUGCCUCCAUAUAAACCGCUCACUCACCCACACUCCCUGUCGGUUAUUGCACGUUCAUGUGUGUUCCUGUGCGUUUGUGGUGUUAUGGUUUCGUGUAUGCUUAUCCCCGCUACGUACCGUUCGACUCGGACUCUCUCCCUAUCUCUCUCCCUUCGCUUCGUUAUCCGGAUUAUCCCUGCGAGCGCAGGUAUUUGUUUUGGCUCUGCCU